rnacentral:rRNA from 1 species
GCCUCAGAACUUAAAUAGAAUUGACGGGGACCCGGCACAAGCAGCGGAGCAUGUGGUUUAAUUCGAAGCAACGCGAAGAACCUUACCAGAUCUUGACAUCCAAUGACCAUCUUUUAUCGAGAUUGUGCCUUCGGGAACUCUGACACAGGUGCUGCAUGGUUGUCGUCAGCUCGUGUCGUGAGAUGUUGGGUUAAGUCCCGUAACGAGCGCAACCCUUGUCCUUAGUUACCAGCACGUUAUGGUGGGCACUCUAAGGAGACUGCCGGUGACAAACCGGAGGAAGGUCGGGGAUGACGUCAAGUCAUCAUGGCCCUUACGGCCUGGGCUACACACGUGCUACAAUGGUCGGUACAAAGGGUUGCCAAGCCGCGAGGUGGAGCUAAUCCCAUAAAACCGAUCGUAGUCCGGAUCGCAGUCUGCAACUCGACUGCGUGAAGUCGGAAUCGCUAGUAAUCGUGAAUCAGAAUGUCACGGUGAAUACGUUCCCGGGCCUU